UGCUCGCUUUGGCAGCAAUAUACUAAAAUUGGAAGGAUACNGAGAACAUUAGCAUGGCCCCUGCACAUAGAUGACAAGCAAAUUCAAAGAACGUUCCAUAUUUUU
rnacentral:snRNA from 1 species